rnacentral:tRNA from 1 species
UUUUAUGAAAUAAUUAUUAUAUUCAGUUUCGACCUGAAAUUAAGUAUUUAAAUAUAUAUAUGUACU